rnacentral:rRNA from 1 species
UACGUAGGGUCCGAGCGUUGUCCGGAAUUAUUGGGCGUAAAGAGCUCGUAGGCGGUUUGUCGCGUCUGCUGUGAAAUCCCGAGGCUCAACCUCGGGCCUGCAGUGGGUACGGGCAGACUUGAGUGGUGUAGGGGAGACUGGAAUUCCUGGUGUAGCGGUGGAAUGCGCAGAUAUCAGGAGGAACACCGGUGGCGAAGGCGGGUCACUGGCCCGAUACUGACGCUGAGGUGCGAAAGCGUGGGGAGCAAACAGG